rnacentral:rRNA from 1 species
UACGUAGGGGGCAAGCGUUGUCCGGAAUCAUUGGGCGUAAAGAGCGCGUAGGCGGCCCUGUAAGUCCGCUGUGAAAGUCAAGGGCUCAACCCUUGGAUGCCGGUGGAUACUGCAGGGCUAGAGUCCGGAAGAGGCGAGUGGAAUUCCUGGUGGUAGCGGUGAAAUGCGCAGAUAUCAGGAGGAACACCGAUGGCGAAGGCAGCUCGCUGGGACGGUACUGACGCUGAGGCGCGAAAGCGUGGGGAGCAAACAGGA